GUCUGUAUACUCAGCUCAGACAGUAGAGCAUGGGACUCAGUCUCAGGGUCUGGGUUCGAGUCCCACAUUGGGCA